AGUCACUUGUCUGCAAGUGCACAUGAAUCUCUUCAGUCUCGGAGGGUGGUCAUUUCUCAUAAUAUGGAUAAAGCUUUGAAAGAAGUGUUUGACUACAGCUACAGAGAUUACAUUCUGUCCUGGUAUGGGCAUCUCAGCAAAGAUGAAGGACAGCUGUACCACCUGCUAUCUGAAGAUUUUUGGGAAGUUGCCAAGCAGCUGCGACAGAGGCUAAGUCACAUUGAUAUAGUUAAGGUUGUCUGCAACGAUGUAGUGAAAACUUUACUCACGCACUUCUGUGACCUUAAAGCAGCCAAUGCCAGGCAGGAAGAGCAGCCAAGGCCAUUUUUACUCCACCCUUGCUUAACGAACUCUGACGAAGAAGUAAGAUUCCUGCAAUCAUGUUCUCAAAUUCUGGUGUAUUGUCUCCUGCCCUCAAAGGAUGCCCAGUCUCUCAGCUUGCGCAUAGUCCUUGCAGACAUACUUGCAACAAAAGUACUGAAGCCAAUGGUGGAACUGCUGAGUGAUCCAGAUUAUGUCAACCAAAUGCUGCUCAGCCAGAUGGAAUACAGAGAACAGGUGAAUGAGCAUCACAAGAAAGCCUACACAUAUGCUCCUUCUUAUGAGGAGUUCAUCAAGCUCAUUAACAGCAAUUCUGACGUUGAAUUCCUGAAACAGCUAAGGUAUCAGAUCGUAGUGGAAAUAGUUCAAGCAACGACAAUCAGCAACUUUCCCCAAAUGAAAAGACAGAAAGAUACUAAAGCUAAAGAAACUGCUGCAAUGAAAGCUGACCUCUUGAGGGCCCGCAAUGUGAAAAGGUAUAUUAAUCAGUUGACUGUGGCAAAGAAGCAGUGUGAGAAGAGAAUAAGACUUCUAGGAGGUCCAGCUUACGACCAGCAGGAGGAUGGUGUAUCUGAUGAGAGUGAUGGGCAUCAGAGCCAGAAGAUUCUUCAGUUUGAGGAUAUUUUGGCUAACCCAUCCUAUCGAGAGCAUUUUCGAAUGUACAUGGAAAGGAUGGACAAGAGGGCUUUGAUUAGCCUUUGGGAGUCUGUGGAAUAUCUGAAGAAUGCUAACAAGACUGAAAUACCUCAACUAGUGAGUGAAAUUUAUCAGAAUUUCUUUGUGGAAACCAGAGAAAUCCCUGUGGAAAAGUCACUUUACAAAGAAAUACAACAAAGUCUUGUGGGCAAUAAAGGCAUUGAGGUUUUCUACAAAAUUCAGACUGAUGUUUAUGAAACACUAAAGGACAGGUACUACCCCUCCUUCAUUGUCAGUGAUUUAUAUGAGAGCCUAAUCAAGAAGGAAGAAGACAGAAUUGAAGUUCAGUUGACUUCUGAGGACAAGGAUGAUGUGAGUCAAGGUUGCGAAGAAGUUAUCGAUGAAUGCAACACAAGAAUUAAUGAACAGGCUAGUUAUGCUGCAAAUAAACUUCGCCAACUAAAUGACAAACUUGAAUAUAAGAGACAGGCUCUUAAUUCCUUAUGUAAUUCACCAAAACCUGACAAAAAGAUUGUUUCCAAAUUGAAAGAUGAAAUUACUCUAAUGGAGAGAGAACACAAUGACCUUCGAUUGCACAUUGCAAGAACAGACUGGUGGUGUGAAAAUCUUGGCAUGUGGAAAGCCUUCAUAAAUUCAGGAGAGGUUGUAGAAGAAAAUGGAGAACAAGUGCCCUGUUAUUUUGUUAUGGUGAAUUUACAAGAAGUUGGUGGAGCUGAAGCUAAGAGCUGGAGUGUUCCCAGAAAGCUCAGUGAGUUUCAGAAUCUACACCGAAAACUGAGUGAGUGUUUUCCAUCAUUAAAGAAAGUUCAGUUGCCUUCCCUCAGUAAGCUGCCCUUCAAAUCUGUAGAUCAGAAAUUCAUGGAAAAGUCCAAGAACCAGUUAAAUAAUUUCUUACAGAAGCUGCUUUCUGAUGAAAGAUUAUGUCAGAGUGAAGCACUUUAUGCCUUUUUGAGCCCUUCCCCUGAGCACCUCAAAGUUAUUGAUGUGCAAGGAAAGAAAUCUGCUUUUUCACUCUCAUCAUUUCUGGAAAGACUACCUGGUGAUUUCUUUUCUCAUCAAGAAGAAGAGACAGAAGAAGAUAGUGACCUGUCAGACUAUGGAGACGAUGUGGAUGGGAAACGAGAUGCUCUUGCUGAGCCAUGCUUCAUGCUGAUUGGAGAAAUUUUUGAGCUGCGAGGAAUGUUUAAGUGGGUCAGAAAGACACUAAUUGCACUAGUACAAGUCACUUUUGGAAGAACUAUCAACAAACAAAUACGUGACACAGUAAGCUGGAUAUUCAGCGAGCCAAUGCUUGUUUACUACAUCAGUGUAUUCCGAGAUGCUUUCUGGCCAAAUGGAAAAUUAGCAGCCCCAACAAGAUCCAAAAGUGAAGAGCAAAGUCAGGAGACAAAACAGAGAGCACAGCAAAAACUACUUGAAAACAUUCCAGGUGAGCCCAUCAUCUGUGUUUCAUUCCAGAUGCUCUGCAAAGCCUUGUUGGACAACAAAAUGCCCGUCAUGGUAUAAUCAAAGUGUUCAAUGCACUGCAAGAAACUAGAGCCAAUAAGCAUCUACUAUAUGUCUUGUUGGAACUGCUGCUAACUGAACUGUGUCCUGAGCUAAGAAUUCAUUCAGAGCAGCUUAAAGCUGCUCAUGUUUGAAUCUGCACAAGUGAACCACUAAAGAAAUGUCUGUGUAAAAAUAGACAUGAACCUUAUCUUCCUCUUUUCCACAGAGGGCUGAGGACUAUUAAGUAUUUUUUAGUUUUCUUUCUCCAGUUUUAUGUGAAGUAAACAGACUUGAAAAGAUCUGAUGCUGUAGUAGGGUAGAAGAACAAUGCUGUAUAAUUGCCAGUUUUAUUUAAAUUGUUAUAUUUGAAUACUUUUGGUUUAAGAUACAGACUGAAAUAUAAAUGUUAAUAUAAGUUGUAAGACUCUAGAAAAUAUUUUAAACGUUUAUGAUAAAUGAAGUUUUGCUUAAUAGUGGUAAAUUAAUUAAUGUUGUACAGUUAAUUUCCUCAUUGAGGAUUUGAAUACUCCUUUAUUCUUGUGUAUUGAAGAGCCCUGUUGUGCAAUAUUUCAUGUAAAGUUAUUGUGGAAAUUUUAUCUAUUUUAUUUUUACCAAAGACGUACCAUAAUUUGAAGCAUUUGUAAGCAAUAAAUACAAAAUUGGAUUAUGGUAUUUAAUGAUAAUUAGUAGUUAGUGGAUGAGUUUGAAUCAUUCCUUGCAGAGAGAAUAUUUUCACCAUACUAUAUAGUCUGUCCAACAGGUCACAUGAAUGAGUGUGUCAUAAUGGAAUGCAUCUGAUCAAUCACUAAUUAGAAAUUGCUUACUGCCUUGAUUUGCUGACAUUCAAAGCACUCUUAUUGCACUCUGACAUUAUUCAGGAUUGCUGUGUUUAAAUGCACAUAACUUUUAAAUCUAGUCCUGAUUUUAUGCAAGGGAAGUAAAACAAAUACAUCUUUGUGUAGUGCUUUUUCAUUCAUGUGUAAGAACAUGUAAAUGGUUGUAAUGAACACAUGAACAGCUGAAUACCAUCAAAUGUUUGUAGGUAACAAUCAUUACUUUCUUUUACACUAAGUCAAUAUAACUGUGGUAUCUUUGAGAGAGAGCAACUGGCUUACAAUUUAGACGGACUACAGUUAAGUUUUGAAACCAACACCCAUAUACUACUGUGAAGUUUAUUGUAACAGCAAGAUUUCUCUGAUAAUACAGCUUUCAGUUUCCUAUUCCACAGCAUAGCUUAAAGAGCUACCUACAUUCUGUUGGAGAUGGAAAGCUAUAUAAUUAAAAACUUGAGAAUAUGUAACCAGAAUACAGCAAUAGGCAAAUCUCACAGGGGAGAAAGUGAUACAGUAGAAGGUACAGUAUAAUGUGGCUGCUCCAUGGUGUAACCUAUGGCUACUUUUUCUGACAGUUGAGAUGUCAGUUCGUAUUAAUAGCAAUAGCUAAGACUCCAAUAUGGAUAAGGAUUAAGACAGAUAGUUAUAGUCUAGAACCGUGGUCACCAACCCAUCGAUCAUGAUCG